AUUGAACGCUGGCGGCAGGCCUAACACAUGUAAGUCGAGCGGGGUUUUCGGACCUAGCGGCGGACGGGUGAGUAAUGCGUAGGAAGCUGCCCGAUAGAGGGGGAUACCAGUUGGAAACGACUGUUAAUACCGCAUAAUGUCUACGGACCAAAGUGUGGGACCUUCGGGCCACAUGCUAUCGGAUGCGCCUACGUGGGAUU
rnacentral:rRNA from 1 species